AUUUUGGAGACAUGACAACACUGCUAUCAUAUGAUUAUGUUCGGCGUGAUAAAUCAGUUGCGUGUGUUGCAAAGUGAUUCACCAAUGAAGUCUAAUUCUCGCGUAUUGUUUACAAUAUAAUUUAUAAAUGUGACAAUUAUGUGGGAAUAUAUCAUAUUUGUAUUUCUCACUUUCUGUCAUAUAGCAUACGCUUCACAUGGCUUUGAUUUUGGUGAUGCAUUAGCACUUAUUAUUGGAAUGGCUAUUGGGAUUGUUGGCAUAUGUGCCUGUUUGGGUUGUUAUGCCAGAAGAAGAGGUGGAGGACUAGAUGCGUUAUAGCAUCGUGCAAAAUUGCAUCACAGAUAUACGUAUUUUAAUUUGGAAAGAUGCACGAUUUUCCAGCUGCUUUCUCAGUUUAGUCCAUUUGAUCUGACACUUUUCUUACAUCUUCAUUCACCGCAACAGAAAUUACAUUUAUCUUUUAAGCAGUCAAUAAGUAUGAACAAAAUAAUUGUAAUUAUUGUGCCUAAUAUUUAAUCAUGUAAGUGUUGUGAGACUUUAUAUCUGCAUUAUUAAAUUGUUUUAUUAUGUAAAUUGUA